GUCUGUACGAACAGACACAAAAACAAAAAACGCCUCCUAGAUCUAUAGAAAGAACUCGCAACGCUGGAUAUCCUCGCCUGUAAAAGCAGACAGGUGAGGGGUUUCAUGUGCAAGGGA
rnacentral:ncRNA from 1 species